UGGUGAUGGAAGGAAGUUGCGUAGAUUCAGGAAGUGAUCCGGAGACGGAUGGAAUGGAUGGCGGGGAAUUAGAAAGUACUGAAAAUAGUAAUUGGACUUUAGUGGAAAAUCGUAAAAGGAAAAAAAUGAGGGAUCAAACAUCUGGAUCAGAUAGUGAAAGAGAAAGGAAACAGGUUAGUAGACCGAAAGAGGAGUACAAGGUAAUGCUUAAAUUUCUUGCGGAAUCGGCUAAUGUGUUGAACCCAAUUAAAAUAACUAAAGCUCUGAAAGAAGCGGUUGGCAAGAUUGAUAGUGCAAAGAGGGUGAGAGAUGGCAGAUUACUGUUGUUGUGUCAUGACAAGAAGCAGCAAAAAGCUGCAGUAGGACUAAAAUCUCUGCUGGGAAUAAAAGUAUCGUGUACAAUAAUGGAGGAAAGGAAAUGGGUGAAAGGAGUGAUAACAGGGAUAUCAACUGAUGUUUCAGUUGAGUCGUUCAAACGAAAUCUAUCAGGGGCAGUAGUAGAAGAUGUGAAGAGACUUAAAUAUGUCAAAAAUGAACAAAAGGUAGAUAGCCUCUCGGUAAUGAUUCAAUUUGAUGCGGAAAAAUUACCUGAGAAAGUGUAUCUAGGAUAUUUGAGUUACGUGGUACGACCGUAUAUUCCCCCACCUAUAAGAUGCUUUAAGUGUCAGAAGUUUGGUCACGUAGCUGCAGUAUGCAAUGGAAAACAACGUUGUGCUAGAUGUGGAGGAGAGCACGAGUACGGAAAGUGUGGGCAUGGAGUGAACCCAAAAUGUUGUAAUUGUGGAGAAAACCAUAGUGUGGGUUAUGGAGGAUGUAAAGUUAGAAAGGAUGCCGUGAAAGCGCAAAAUAUAAGAGUAUCUGAAGGAGUAUCAUAUGUGGAAGCUUUAAAGCGUGUCCAAAAAAAUCUGAAGACGAGUGCAGGAAAAGCAGAUCUGGUGGAAAAAUCCUAUACAGUGGAUAAACAAGUAAGCAGUAGAAGAGUAAAUGACAAUACAAUGUUGAUUGAUAAGAUGUCAUUCAUUGCAUUUAUGGCAGAAGUCGUCAAUUGCUCAGCACAAACAGAAAGUCGAACAGAAAGAAUCAGAAUAAUCCUGAGGGCAGCUGGGAAAUAUUUGGAUGUGGAAGGAGUAACGGUGGAACAAGUAAAUGAGA
rnacentral:lncRNA from 1 species